AUAGCAGCCUAUCGCAAUGGGAGAAGAGCUAAAAUAACUAAAAAUCUAAGUAAAUACACUGCGUUUAAAUUUUCAGAGUCCGUUUUGUGUGUCGCCAUCUUGAAUCGCAGCCGCAUUUCUAGAACAAUUGUGUGAGGAAAUAAAACUAAAAAAGAAUAGUCUCCACAAAAAGCGUUGAGACACGCACACGCAUCACAGUUCAAAAAUCAGAAAGCGGCUUUUGUCAGGCUCAAGACAGCGACUCCUUUGAGCCUUUGCUGAUUGCUGUUGCUGAUUUGCAGGAUCAACCUGGAGGAUGUGAACUCGGACUUGGCCUUUUUUCUCAGCAAGAACGAGGAGCCCGGCCACCGCUCCAAUUACAACCAUUACGUGUUGCCGCAGCCCAUCUGGAUUGUGGACAAGAUUCGCUUUGUCUCCAGAGAAUCCAGAGCAGCACAAGUAAUCUAGAUGCCUACGGAAUUUCGGAAUUAAAAAAAUUAAGCUUGUUUGACUCAUGUGCCGACUAUCACGGUCUUAAUACUGCGAGUGUACUCUAAAUUUUUGUUUCCAUUUUUAAGUUUUUUGCGCAAAGGUUAAAUCAACUAUCAACAUUAUCAUAUAAACGCAUUUCAUAAGCUGAUCUGAUCA